rnacentral:rRNA from 1 species
GGUGAACGCUGGCGGCGUGCCUAACACAUGCAAGUCGAGCGGUGCAGUUUGAAGCUUCGGUGGAAAGCUGCAUAGCGGCGGACGGGUGAGGAAAACGUAGGAACGUGCCCCUUGGAGUUGGAUAGCCACGGGAAACUGUGGGUAAACCGACAUAGACUCGAGAGAGUAAAGGCCGAAAGGCGCCAAGGGAGCGGCCUGCGGCCCAUCAGGUAGUUGGUAGUGUAAAGGACUACCAAGCCGACGACGGGUAGCCGGUCUGAGAGGAUGGCCGGCCACAAGGGCACUGAGAUACGGGUCCCACUCCUACGGGAGGCAGCAGGCUAGAAAUUUGGGCAAUGGGGGAAACCCUGACCCAGUGACGCCGCGUGCAGGAAGGAGCCCUUCGGGGUGUAAACUGCUGUCGUGUAGGGAGAAGGGUACUAAGGUGAACAAUCUUAGUACUUGACGGUACUACAGGAGGAAGCCCAGGCUAACCUCGUG